AUACGGAGGAUCCGAGCGUUAUCCGGAUUUAUUGGGUUUAAAGGGUGCGUAGGUGGUUUGAUAAGUCAGCGGUGAAAGUUUGUAGCUUAACUGUAAAAAUGCCGUUGAAACUGUCGGACUUGAGUGUAAAUGAGGUAGGCGGAAUGCGUGGUGUAGCGGUGAAAUGCAUAGAUAUCACGCAGAACUCCGAUUGCGAAGGCAGCUUACUAAGCUACAACUGACACUGAAGCACGAAAGCGUGGGGAUCAAACAGGAUUAGAUACCCUGGUAGUCCACGCAGUAAACGAUGAUUACUAGCUGUUUGCGAUACACAGUAAGCGGCACAGCGAAAGCGUUAAGUAAUCCACCUGGGGAGUACGCCGGCAACGGUGAAACUCAAAUGAAUUGACGGGG
rnacentral:rRNA from 1 species